rnacentral:rRNA from 1 species
UACAGGCUUAACACAUGCAAGUCGAGGGGUAGCAGGGUAGCAAUACCGCUGACGACCGGCGCACGGGUGAGUAACACGUAUCCAACCUUCCCAUAACUCGGGGAUAGCCUUUCGAAAGAAAGAUUAAUACCCGAUAGUACUUUAUUAAGGCAUCUUAAGAAAGUUAAAGAUUUAUUGGUUAUGGAUGGGGAUGCGUUCCAUUAGAUAGUUGGUGAGGUAACGGCUCACCAAGUCUUCGAUGGAUAGGGGUUCUGAGAGGAAGGUCCCCCACAUUGGUACUGAGACACGGACCAAACUCCUACGGGAGGCAGCAGUGAGGAAUAUUGGUCAAUGGGCGAGAGCCUGAACCAGCCAAGUAGCGUGAAGGAUGACGG